GACAACUGUAUGCAGGACAGUCAGAAAAGUUUUCUGUGUGAUUGGCUGCAUAGAUGCACACACUUCCCCAUCACAGCUCCCUCACAUCAUGAACAGGAAGUCCAUUCACAGCAUAAAUGUGCAGAUCAUAUGUGAUGCUGCAUACAUCAUUUCUAAUGUGGAGGCCAAGUGGUCUGGGUCUGUUCAUGACUCCAGGAUUUAUGGAGAGUCUAACCUGAGCAACAGACUGCAGCGUGGAGAGUUUGAUGGCCUUCUGCUGGGUGACAGGGGUUACCAUGCCAACCCAGGCUGAUGACCUCAUACCCUGACCCUGAACCAGGCCCCCAACAGAACUUCAACCGGGCUCACUGCAGGACCAGAGCCCGGGUGGAGAUGACCAUAGGCCUGCUGAAAGCCCGUUUCCAGCGCCUACAUCACCUCAGGGUGACCCCUGAGAGGGCCUGUGAUAUUACUGUGGCAUGUGUUGUUCUUCAUAAUAUUACCACUAUUAGAGGAGCGCAACACCCUGCCCUACAAACUGAAGACCCAGAUGAUGACCUCAUCCACCUGCAGCUAUCCAGGACAGCAGAGCAGUCAGAGACACCGUAUGCAAUAAUCACUUUAGAGUUUAAGUCACCAUCAUCACCACCACAGCAAAUAAAGACAUGAUACACA